rnacentral:rRNA from 1 species
AGAGUUUGAUCAUGGCUCAGAUUGAACGCUGGCGGCAUGCCUUACACAUGCAAGUCGAACGGAUCUAGGGGCUUGCUCCUAGGUUAGUGGCGAACGGGUGAGUAAUGCAUCGGAACGUGCCCAGUCGUGGGGGAUAACGUAGCGAAAGUUACGCUAAUACCGCAUACGUCCUGAGGGAGAAAGCGGGGGACUCGCAAGAGCCUCGCGCGAUUGGAGCGGCCGAUGUCGGAUUAGCUAGUUGGUGGGGUAAAGGCUUACCAAGGCGACGAUCCGUAGCUGGUCUGAGAGGAUGAUCAGCCACACUGGGACUGGGACACGGCCCAGACUCCUACGGGAGGCAGCAGUGGGGAAUUUUGGACAAUGGGGGAAACCCUGAUCCAGCCAUGCCGCGUGAGUGAAGAAGGCCUUCGGGUUGUAAAGCUCUUUCGGACGGAAAGAAAUCUUCUGGGCUAACACCCCGGGAGGAUGACGGUACCGUAAGAAGAAGCACCGGCUAACUACGUGCCAGCAGCCGCGGUAAUACGUAGGGUGCGAGCGUUAAUCGGAAUUACUGGGCGUAAAGCGUGCGCAGGCGGUUGUGCAAGACAGGUGUGAAAUCCCCGGGCUUAACCUGGGAACUGCGCUUGUGACUGCACAACUAGAGUACGGCAGAGGGGGGUGGAAUUCCUGGUGUAGCAGUGAAAUGCGUAGAUAUCAGGAGGAACAUCGAUGGCGAAGGCAGCCCCCUGGGCCAGUACUGACGCUCAUGCACGAAAGCGUGGGGAGCAAACAGGAUUAGAUACCCUGGUAGUCCACGCCCUAAACGAUGUCGACUAGUUGUUCGGUGGGUAAAACCGCUGAGUAACGUAGCUAACGCG